GGCCUCGUGGCCCAAUGGCAAGGCGUCUGACUACGAUCGAAAUCAUCUCAAAAGAUGAGUUCAUCAGGAAUCAGGAGAUUCUGGGUUCGACCCCCAGCGAGGUCA
rnacentral:tRNA from 2 species